CGCAUGUGCCUGUUCAGAAUCAUGUUCGUGUCCGUUGACAUAGUUACCUCAGUUUAGUUUUUUCUGUUUAUGUUUCAGGUUUAUUUUCGCCCCUGUUGCUUUAUUUUGUACUCAUGUAUCAGCCAUAAUACACAGCUCGCUUUUUGUUUAUCCUUAGUUCCGUCUCCCUCCGUGUGUGCAGUUGGGUCCUUCUCACUCCCCACACAGUCUGCUUCAGUUUUGGUGUGAGUUCCCUGUGCACGGACCAGGCCGUGUAACAAUAAGCUGUUGUACAAGUGACCCAAGUCGCCGUUCGUAAACAAUGACCAACAGACAAAAACAGAAUUGCCUACAACAUCAGACUCACAAAUGGAUUCUAUUUUCUGGUCACGCCACGGCUCAUCCCUCAGGCUUUGCUCAUUUCUCAGACUCCAAGCCAUACUCUCUGCUCUUCACACGCCACCUCUUGGAAAGCUUCCAGCUCUACACCUGCCUGCCCUCCUGUCACCUUUUGCUCGGUGGAUCUCUCGAACCCAGGUAAACCUCUGUAACGUCCACCGAGAGUAAACAGAUGGAUGUAACUUUGAGGUCUGAAAACUGAAGCCAAAAAAAGUAAACAAGAAGGAUGUGCUUUGGAUCCACCAAAGAAUCCAUCCAUCCUUUUUCUGCUCCUUAUCUGGGUUCGGAUCAUGGGGGCAGCCGUCCGAGCAGAGAAGCCCAGACUUCCCUCAGCCAAACCACCUCUUCCAGCUCAUCCGGGGACACUGAAGCGUUCCCAAGCCAGUUGAAAGAUGUAACCUCUGCAGCGAAUCCUGUGAAUUUAUUUUUUCACUCUCUUGCUUGCACCGUACAGUUGGUGCAGCAAUGCAUUUGUGUAGGAUUUAGUUUCUCACAGACUUGAGGCCCCUAUUAUGUGGAACUCCACACCAGCAUCGGCUUGGCAUGAUGCAUAAUGCUGAUGUACUUUUUUCCCGUGUCAGCUCCCAUUGCUCCCCUUUUCUCUGCUCCUGGCACCUCCAUUUCAUCACUUCUUUCUGCGGCCUGUGUGUAGUAGGACAAUUGAUGAGGGGAAAGAUGCUGCUGGUUGAGAAAUAUCACAAACUAUGAGAUCCACAAUCUCCACAACAUGCCUAAAAAUGACCACAACUACUGUUGUAAACAUUAGCACAGCUCGUACUUUAGUGUGAGACUUGGUAUGUAAUGUCUUCGUUAGUAAGAAGACUGUAAAACUGACGAUGAUUCAGACCUCUGGCUGAGAGGAAAUAAACAGCUCAGACAACCACUCUUAUGAUGUGAUAGACUAUUAAGAAACUACAGUACAGUACCUGCUGGUGUUAAAGAUACAGUGAAAAUUACAAAAAUCAUAUUAACAUAGUUUUGUAUUGCUAUUAAUUGUACAUUUUUUAUAUUUUAUUUCUCGCUUUUACUUAUUUUGUUAUACAGCGUUUUGUAACUUAAUGUGAAAAAUGCU